ACGGUCUCCGCGCUCGCUCGUCCAUUUGUGAACAAAGGAGGCCGUGAUUUUGCGUCGUAUGGGGUAAGCUGUGUGAUCGAAGUGUGUGAUUAAGCUUCACUUGUAUUCACACCAUGACUGUUGGCUUUUGUUGUUUGUUUGGAGCAGCGGCUGCAGUGUUGCGUCCCGUCAGGCCAUGAAAGAAGGAAGGAGGAUAUGAUUUUGCGUCGUAAUGGGUUUUUGUUGUUUGUUCAGAGCAGCGGCUGCAGUGUUGCGUCCCGUCAGGCUCUACUUUGUUGAACACUAAGCUGGGUGAACCAACUUUGUUGUUGCUAUGACCGUAUUACUCAGUUUUACUCACUUGUGUUUGAACGUUACUAAUUUGCGAUUGCACGCCCUAUUUCAGACACAUAUCUCUCCAGCGCUUCAGAGACGUCGCUGGCGCCGAAAUUCUAGCUGUUUCACCGUGGGUCGCCAGAAGAACAGCAGAUCAUUGACUGUCAAUUGUGCGACGCGACACUAUGUGGCACGAAGGAUGUGUACGUGUGAAAUACGUAACUACUGUGUGCGCGGGUUGUUUUGUAUGAUUGUAUCGACACUGGAUACCACUUUCAAGGUAUGCAUUUUCGGAAUAAAGUAGAUACAUAUAUAAUUUUGCAGUACUUCAUUUCGUGUAUUUUAUGCGUGUUGCGAGUAAGUGAACAUAUGCACUCUUACAAAUGAACUUCACCGCAUAGCAUGCUCCUAGCCGACCAUCAACUCGAAUGAUAUCGCUAUGUGACCUGAUUUGUUCAAAACGGUAGGCGCACGGCUUUUUUGUGAUACUUACGCUGUUCAUAAUUGUCACAAAAAUGGCGUACACCUCCCGUUUUCA